rnacentral:rRNA from 1 species
UACGUAGGGGGCGAGCGUUGUCCGGAUUUAUUGGGCGUAAAGAGCGUGUAGGCGGUUCGGUAAGUCUGUCGUGAAAUCCUGAGGCUCAACCUCGGGCGUGCGAUGGAUACUGCCGGGCUAGAGGGUGGUAGAGGCGAGUGGAAUUCCCGGUGUAGCGGUGAAAUGCGUAGAUAUCUGGAGGAAUACCGGUGGCGAAGGCGGCAUCCUGGACCGACAUUGACGCUGAGGCGCGAAAGCUAGGGGAGCAAACGGG